AGGAGGAACGGCCCCAGUGGCGGGGCAGCUCUGGAGCCCUGGAUUCAGCCCCCGCAGGAACUCUGGAGCUCUCCGUCGGCAGGGCCUGGAGGCUCCGGGGCGGG
rnacentral:pre_miRNA from 1 species